rnacentral:misc_RNA from 1 species
UGAACGCACAAGACCAAGCUUAUGCUCGGGUGUCUUUAAAAUUACUAUUG